rnacentral:rRNA from 1 species
GACGAAGGCUUUUGGGUCGUAAACCUCUUUUCCCUGAGAAGAAGAUCUGACGGUAUCAGGGGAAUCAGCAUCGGCUAACUUCGUGCCAGCAGCCGCGGUAAUACGAGGGAUGCAAGCGUUAUCCGGAAUUAUUGGGCGUAAAGCGUCCGCAGGUGGCUCUGUAAGUCUGUCGUUAAAGAAUGGGGCUCAACCCCAUACAGGCGAUGGAAACUACAAAGCUAGAGUUUGGUAGGGGUCACGGGAAUUCUUAGUGUAGCGGUGAAAUGCGUAGAUAUUAAGAAGAACACCAGCGGCGAAAGCGCGUGACUGGGCCAGUACUGACACUCAUGGACGAAAGCU